AAGAAGACGACAAAUAAGAAUGGUAUUAAGUUGGUAGAAUGGAACUCCUUCCUGAUUCCUGCACAUGUAAGUUACCAGAUACUCUUGAGGGACCAAUUUAAGGGCAAACAGACAAACGUUUUGAUGCAAAGAAAGCAUUGGAUUUGAAAGUUCCCAUGGAGAAGAAAAAUGGAGAGAUUCUAAAAGUAUGAAGAUACUCCUGUGUAUAAUGAGGAAAUCUUGUCAGUGAAUGUUGUUGCAAUUGUGGACCAGGCCAGAGUUGUACUAAACCAACUAAGACACAAUGAGAUACAGGAAUGACACAAUGAGAAACAGGAAACAGGAAAGUGAUGACUGAUCGCCACCUGUUACAAAUUCAUCUAGAAAACUCCCCACAUCCAACAAGAGACAGUCUGACUUCAAAAUCUUCAUUGAAAGCAACUUAAUGGACAAGACAUCCGUCACAUAAAGAUUCACUAAAAUUGGAAUGAUAUACCAAUUUUAACUUUUAACAGACAAAUACAUUAUAGAUUUGAAAAUAGAUUACCCUUAAAUAAGUUGGAUGAUUAACAUUUACCUCAACACAGUACAAAGUGCUCAUGUUGAACUAUUGUGAUUGAUCAUAGUCUGUCCUUCAUUUUUAUUAACAGUUUCAUACAGUGUUAACACUUUAGUAUGGGGACUCAUUUUAGCUCAACUUUUCGAAGAAUAUGGAGAGCUAUACUACUCACCCAAGCGUCGGCGUUGGCGUCACCCCUUGGUUAAGGGUUUGCGUGCAAGCACACAUAGGUAAAUAUCUCAGCAACUACUUGAGGUAUUGCAUUGAGACUUUAUACAAUGGUACUCAACCAUCCAACCUACUUAAUUAACCAAGUUUGAUAACUACUUUGCAUUUAAUGCCAAUAAUAGGCCUUUAAUAUUUGACUUAGAAAUUCUGGUUAAGGUUUUGCAUGCAAGCACACAUAGGUUAAUAUCUCAGCAACUACUUGAGGUAUUACAUUGAGACUUGAUACAAUGGUACUCAACCAUCCAACCUACUUAUUUAAACAAGUAAGAUAACUCUAGUUUGCAUUUAAUGUAAAUAAUAGGCCUUUAUUAUUUGACUUAGAAAUUCUGGUUAAGGUUUUGCAUGCAAGCACACAUAGGUUAAUAUCUCAGCAACUGCUUGAGGUAUUGCAUUGAGACUUGAUACAAUGGUACUCAACCAUCCAACCUACUUAUUUAAACAAGUAAGAUAACUCUAGUUUGCAUUUAAUGUAAAUAAUAGGCCUUUAUUAUUUGACUUAGAAAUUCUGGUUAAGGUUUUGCAUGCAAGCACACAUAGGUUAAUAUCUCAGCAACUGCUUGAGGUAUUGCAUUGAGACUUGAUACAAUGGUACUCAACCAUCCAACCUACUUAAUUUUCCAAGUUAUAUAACUAUAGUUUGCAUUUAAUGCAAAUACUUCCCUUUAUUAUUUCACUCAGAAAUUCUGGUUAAGGUUUUGCAUAUAAGCACACAUAGGUUAAUAUCUCAGCAACUACUGUAUAAAUUGCAUUGAGACUUUAUACAACCACCCAACCUAAUUGAAUAAUCAAGUUAGAUAAAAAUUCUGGUUAAAAUUUUGCAUGUAACCACAUUUAUGUUAAUAUCUCCGCACAUCAUGUAUUGCAUUGAAAUCUAAUCUAACAGUGAUCCAUGCAUGUUUCGCCAAAACUUUUCAAUCCUUACACUGAAAAGCAGCGGAAUAGUCGAGAGCGCUGUCUCUGUGACAGCUCUUGUCUCUUUGGUCUUUAUUCAUACUGGCCAGAAUAUGUUUACCAAAAAAAUCUUAGUAGAGAUUGAUAACUGUUCAGGUUGGACAAAAAGCAUGUAGGUUGUUUGUUCUAAUAAUAUAAACUGUAAAUGCUUCAGAAACUAUAUAUAUAAUUUUUCAUGAUAUUUGUCAGUAUUUAUUCUCGUCAACAUUUAAAUAAUAUUAGGUGAAACUUGUUUAAUGGUCAAAAUGUGUUUGAUUAGAGUGGCCUCAAGUUCCACUUUAUAUGAAUGAAAUUUGGUCAAGUUUUAGAAAAAAACUAUGUUCUAGUUUUAUAGGCCAUAUUCUCUUCCCAAGCUUUCCUUAAAGAAUGAAUGUAGGUAAUAUGAAACAGGAGUCACUAAGUCAAGUAUUAAAAACCUUAAAAAUUGCUAUUCAUAGAGGUAUUGUUUCCUCAUCAUAAAUCACAACUUAGCCAGCAAGACUUUUCAACAAAUAAGGCAUAACAUGUAAAAAGUUAAUAAUUAGGCACAUAUUUUAGUGAAUAAAAUCUUGUGAACAUAUUAUUGAAACAAAUAAUGUGUCUGGUUCUGAGGUGAGCAAUAAAGCACAUUGCUUAGUAACAAUUGAGCUAGCUCAUUAUUAAAAGUUUGUUUUAAACUUGAAUUAAAUGAAUGCAAAUCAUAUAUUAUUAUUUUUAAUCUAUA